rnacentral:rRNA from 1 species
UAGAGUUUCGAUCCUGGCUCAGGACGAACGCUGCGGCAUGCCUAACACAUGCAAGUCGAACGGGGAUAGCAAUAUCCUAGUGGCGAACGGGUGAGUAACGCGUGAGUAACCUGCCUCAUACAACGGGAUACCUGAGGGAAACUUCAGUUAAUACGGUAUAAGACCACACUGCCGCAUGGCAGAGGGGUAAAAGGAGCAAUCCGGUAUGAGAUGGACUCGCGUCGCAUUAGCUAGUUGGUGAGGUAACGGCCCACCAAGGCGACGAUGCGUAGCCGACCUGAGAGGGUGAUCGGCCACAUUGGGACUGAGAUACGGCCCAGACUCCUACGGGAGGCAGCAGUGGGGAAUAUUGGGCAAUGGAGGAAACUCUGACCCAGCAAUGCCGCGUGAAUGAAGAAGGUCUUCGGAUUGUAAAGUUCUUUAGUCAGGGAAGAAAAAAUGACGGUACCUGAAGAAUAAGCUCCGGCUAACUACGUG